UACGGAGGGUGCGAGCGUUGUCCGGAAUCACUGGGCGUAAAGGGCGCGUAGGCGGCCAGACAAAGUCGAGCGUUAAAUUCCAGGGCUUAACCCUGGGCUGUUGCUCGAUACUAGUCGGCUAGAGUGUGGAAGAGGGUGCUGGAAUUCCCGGUGUAGCGGUGAAAUGCGUAGAUAUCAGGAGGAACACCAGCAGCGAAGGCGGCGCUCUGGGCUGGAACUGACGCUGAGGAGCGAAAGCGUGGGUAGCAAACAGG
rnacentral:rRNA from 1 species